GAUGGGGGGAGAGGCCUUACAACGCCCUAAUGUACCCCCACAGCCCUGUUAGGGACAGGAAGAAAACCUCGCCCUAACUUGAGCAAAGUCAAAGGCCCGGUUCUUUUAGACCGGAUGGGGGGAGAGGCCUUGCAACGCCCUAAUGUGCCCCCACAGCCAUGUUAGGAACAGGAGAAGAACCUCGUCCUAACAUGAGCAA
rnacentral:lncRNA from 1 species